rnacentral:rRNA from 1 species
CGUAAAGCGCAUGCAGGCGGCCUGUUAAGUCAGAUGUGAAAGACCCGGGGCGUUAACCUCGGAAUUGCAUUUGAAACUGGCAGGCUAGAGUCUUGUAGAGGGGGGUAGGAAUUUCAGGUGUAGCGGUGAAAUAGCGUAGAGAUCUGAAGGAAUACCAGUGGCGAAGGCGGCCCCCUCGGACAAAGACUGACGCUCAGAUGCGAAAGCGUGGGGAGCAAACAGGAUUAGAUACCCUGGUAG